rnacentral:rRNA from 1 species
GAUGAAACGCUAGCUACAGGCUUAAACACAUGCAAGUCGAGGGGAGACGAUAGAGAAAGCUUGCUUUUUCUAGGCGUCGACCGGCGCACGGGUGAGUAAACGCGUAUCCAACCUGCCCACCACUUGGGGAUAACCUUGCGAAAGUAAGACUAAUACCCAAAUGACGUCUCUAGAAGACAUCUGAAAAGGGAUUAAAAGAUUUAUCGGUGAUGGAUGGGGGAUGCGUCUGA